UAUCCUACGGGGGGCAGCAGUGGGGAAUAUUGCACAAUGGGGGGAACCCUGAUGCAGCGACGCCGCGUGGGUGAAGGAGUAUUUCGGUAUGUAAAGCCCUAUCAGCAGGGAAGAACAAUGACGGUACCUGACUGAGAAGCACCGGCUAAAUACGUGCCAGCAGCCGCGGUAAUACGUAUGGUGCAAGCGUUAUCCGGAUUUACUGGGUGUAAAGGGAGCGCAGACGGCAGUGCAAGUCUGGAGUGAAAGCCCGGGGCCCAACCCCGGAACUGCUCUGGAAACUGUGCGGCUAGAGUACUGGAGGG
rnacentral:rRNA from 1 species